UGCUGUUAGCAGGAGAUGGCUUUGGCACUGAGGAUGGCACUGGGCACUGCCCCACCCUGCUCUUGAUCUCCGGGCUGGGCAGUGGGAGCCUCGUGGGGAAAAUAAUCCCUCUGACUUCAACACAGACAGACUUUGCUGCCAAACUCCUCCAUUCUCCAGUGAGAUCAUUAGCGUGAAAAUCAAACAGGAUCAGGGCCUGAAAGGCUUGAGAAAUGCUCUGUGAGGUUAUCUGCUGAAGUCCAGACAGAUCAGGUGCCAGAGAGCUGCACCAGGACUAACGAAGGCACGCCAGGAGAAAUGGCACGAGGAGAAGGGUGAAAUGCUGAUGGUGAAGUCAGAAAUCCCCAGGGACCCUGCAGAGGUGGGAAUCCCUGGCCACACGAGGCAGCAGCACCUGCUGGGUUCAGGUGUGCCAGGAGAGGGGAGGAGCAGGGCGCAGCUUUGUGCUGGCAAAGGCUGGAAAACAAUAAGGAGGAAUAGUCUUCUGUGAGCAUGAGCAUGGCCCGGGGUGGCCUCCGUGACGUCUGCUUCAGCCUGAUGCUGCUCAGGUUUUUAAUCUCUUUCCCAGAGCCAGAAGGCAGCGAUGCAGGGGAUUUUUGGCAAUUUCUUUCAAGGCUUUUAUAUUCUGCGGGUUUCAGGCUUGCGUUCCCCCUUCCUCCACCCCUUUGCCCCUUCUGAAAUGAAUUGCAGUUAAUUUUGGAUGUUGUUGAGCCUGGAAACACAUCUUUCUUGCUGCCAGCCCAUUAAAAAAAAUAUAUUUACAGUUCCAUAAAGCAAAGCCAGCUGCCAAGGUAACGUCCUGCUGGCUCCCUCGUGUUCCAGGCACAGAAUAAGGAU